rnacentral:lncRNA from 1 species
AUGUCACCUGGAGGAAAGGUGCUGCUCCUCAGCGUUGGGGUUGCUCAUGGAUCCCCAACAGCGUCCUCCUCCAGCCAGCCAGGAGAGCGCCAACUCUCCCCUGCCAAAAGCACCUUUUCUGUUUGUUGCAGGGGGAGACUGGGGAGCCCAGGUCGGACCCAGGUGGCAAAGGGGACUGAGCGAGGCACCCGCGGGGCCAGGAGGUGCUGGGGGAGCCCUUCUCGCCGCGGUGCCCCUGCAUGGGGCUGGGCCCGCUCCCUGGGCACCCCUGCUCGGCCCCUGCUGGCCCUGCCAGCUGCUUUUUGCUCCUUUUUUGCUCGAGGCCCCGUGCCAGGGAGCAGGUACGCGUGCCUGCAGGUUCCCGUGCUGCUGCUGCUGCUGCGCGGCCGCCUGGGGUGUCUACGGGCAGGCUGGUGGCAGAUGGCACGGCGCGCCCAGCGAGCCAGCCUCCCGCGGCGGGCGGGUGGGCGGGUGCACGGUGCCUCCGCCGCCGGCUCUCCCCCCGCGCCCGCCGGCUCUCCCGCUCUCUGCCUUUUUUGGGUCGGGCAUUCGGUAAGCCGAGCCCAGCACCUGGCUCUGCUCAGCUGGCGCAGGCAGCGCCAUAAAUCAUCCCCGACGUUACGGAGUACACACUGCGCCGCCGGGGAGCGCCGGGGCCGGCUGCCUCUCCCGUGCGCGGCGCUGGGCCGGGGGCCGCGGCUCCUUCCCGGGGCGCUGGCCACGAGGCACCGCGGGGAGCAGAGCACCGGUGGAGCCACGGGGCAGGCGCUGAGCCCCGGGGCGGUGCGACCCCCCGGAGCUGCUGCGCGGCCAUGGGGCUGUGCCACCGAGGGGAGCAACUUGUUUGGGGCCGGCAGGGCUGCCCAUGGCCCGGGGAGCGCCCUGGUCCCCGCCAGCCGCUGCCGCCAAGCUCCGGUGUCCAGCACAGCGCCAGCGCUUGGGGCCCACGGCACCCGUGCACCCCAGUGCUGGAGCCCGAAUCCCCGGGCACCAGGCUGGCUGGGGGCUUGA